ensembl:lncRNA
GUUCAGCACAAAACUUCCCUCAACUUCCCUGCACUAGAGACUCAUUUGCCUCAGUGAGUCAACACUUGGAAAUUGAUUCUGAUGCAGUUCACUGCCUCAGCAUGGUGAGGUCAUUCUUCAAGAUUUAUGCAGAAUCAUUCACUGAUUGUUUUGGUAGUUUACAUCCUCACACAGGUAGAUGGCGAACAAGUGAGGAGGUUACAUCCUCAUACCAGUAGGUGGUGACAAGUGUGAUGGUGAAGUGGUAAUUUGAUUCAUCUGAGUGAAAAAGAUGUGCACCCGCCUACUUCCACUCACUAUUAUGAAUCUACAUCCCCUCCAGAAGUCUGAGAUCUGCCAGUGAGCGACGCCUCAUGGUACCAUCACAGAGAGGCUCAAAAUCACUUUCAAGAACAUUCUCGUUCACCAUUCCUGGCUGGUGGAAUGUUCUUUCCACCCCAUCCGGAAUGCUGUAUCCCUGA